GCAAACAACUACCGAAAAAGAAAGGAAAAGAAAGAAAGAGAAAAUGAAAAAAGAUAUAAAAUUGGGUUUUUUUUUGGGAGAAUUAGCGACGAUGAAGAAUCUUCAGUUGAACUGAAAUCCCAUAUUCUCUUUGAUUGAGUUUGAAUUGGCUUGUUUUCUAUUUUUUGUUUUGAGUUUGAGUGUUUUUCUUGC
rnacentral:rRNA from 1 species